GCUUGAUCGGACAGCUUAGAGGCUUAAUUGGGCAUGAUCAGGCAUGCAGAUGCAUGAUCUGACAGCCAAAAAGGCAUGCAAUGCUGAUCAGACGGUCCAAAUGCAUGUGGAGUCUGAUCAGGAAUGUUUCUUCGAUCAGGAGUGGGUUUUGGGGCCUAUAAAUAGGCCUGAUGGUAGAAAGGAGAUAGAAGCUGAGAGAGAGUGUGGCCGAGGGUCUUAGGG
rnacentral:lncRNA from 1 species